rnacentral:lncRNA from 1 species
GCACCCAAUAAUAGUUAACCCGUCAGCAACCUCAGAAAUAUCUGAGCUUCUCUUAAAUUACUGAGACAAAGAGCUAUUCCGCUCCACCAGACGUCCCAGCCAAGCUUCAGCCAUCCGGCCCAAACUCCCCGGCAAGUCGUGAUAACGAACACCACUCCACUCUCUGUAACAGACUCCACAUGACCCCACCACUCUCUGAUAAAUCGUGACAAUGGAUACCACUCCACUCUCUGUAACAGACUCCACGUGGCCCCACCACUCUCCAGCAAGUCGUGACAACGGACACCACUACUCUCUGUAACAAACUCCAUGUGGCCAUGAACGGCCCACUAUCAGGCAGUUACGGACGUCGCUGUCAAUCGAUUACGCUCUCCCAUCUAUAAAAGAGACUCUCCAGAUACGUUCUCCUCCA